rnacentral:lncRNA from 1 species
UCGCCUGAAAAGGCUCUCUUGACAACGUUCGGACGUUUGUAGCUUGUAAAGUCCACUUGCCCCUGGAAUCGGGUGCAAAAGACAAGACUUUCCUGAGCACGAGGUCACCUUCUCGGAACACACGAGACUUGACCUUCUUAUCGAAUGCUUUCUGACCAUAAAACAUGGCAGUUGAUCUUUUGUUUUUGCUUGAAUUCAGCAUCAGUCAACUUGGGACUUUGAGGGUGCUAUCUUUU